rnacentral:rRNA from 1 species
GAUGAACGCUAGCGACAGGCUUAACACAUGCAAGUCGAGGGGCAGCAUAGAAGUAGCAAUACUUUGGUGGCGACCGGCGCACGGGUGAGUAACGCGUAUGCAACCUACCUAUCAGAGGGGGAUAACCCGGCGAAAGUCGGACUAAUACCGCAUAAAACAGGGGCACCGCAUGGUGAUAUUUGUUAAAGAUUAAUUGCUGAUAGAUGGGCAUGCGUUCCAUUAGGUAGUUGGUGAGGUAAUGGCUCACCAAGCCGACGAUGGAUAGGGGAACUGAGAGGUUGGGCCCCCACACUGGUACUGAGACACGGACCAGACUCCUACGGGAGGCAGCAGUAAGGAAUAUUGGUCAAUGGGCGAGAGCCUGAACCAGCCAUGCCGCGUGAAGGAAGACGGCCUUAUGGGUUGUAAACUUCUUUUAAGAGGGAAAAAACUGGGCUACGUGUAGCCCAUUGCUUGUACCUUUUGAAUAAGCAUCGGCUAACUCCGUGCCAGCCGCCGCAGUAAAAC